CCGCACAAAGCGGUGGAUUAUGUGGAUUAAUUCGAUGCAACGCGAAAAACCUUACCUACCCUUGACAUGCUAGGAAGUCCGCAGAGAUGUGGAUGUGCCCGAAAGGGAACCUAGACACAGGUGCUGCAUGGCUGUCGUCAGCUCGUGUCGUGAGAUGUUGGGUUAAGUCCCGCAACGAGCGCAACCCUUGCCAUUAGUUGCGACAUUUAGUUGAGCACUCUAAUGGGACCGCCGGUGACAAACCGGAGGAAGGUGGGGAUGACGUCAAGUCCUCAUGGCCCUUAUGGGUAGGGCUUCACACGUAAUACAAUGGUCGGUACAGAGGGCUGCCAACCCGCGAGGGGGAGCUAAUCCCAGAAAGCCGAUCGUAGUCCGGAUUGUAGUCUGCAACUCGACUGCAUGAAGCCGGAAUCGCUAGUAAUCGCGGAUCAGCAUGUCGCGGUGAAUACGUUCCCGGGUCUUGUACACACCGCCCGUCACACCAUGGGAGUGGGUUCCACCAGAAGUAGGUAGCCUAACCGCAAGGAGGGCGCUUACCACGGUGAGAUUCAUGACUGGGGUGAAGUCGUAACAAGGUAACC
rnacentral:rRNA from 1 species